GAUAGCGAGGGAGGCCUCAUCGGGUUUGACCCCGGCAUGCUUUGACACCUUUUUCACUGUUGGAAGAUGCUCUGACUUUAAAGUAGAAAGCAGACUGUAAGUGGCAAAAUGAAUGCCUACAAAGCAGGACUUGAGUUACGUGGCAUCCUCACAGAGAUGGAGAGAAAUAAUUAGAUCUAAGGGGGAAAACGUAGGCUGAGGAUAAGGCUCCAUGGGGAAGCGCUUUCCUAAUGUGCAGUAGGUCUCCGUACUACCCCCAGAACAGUGAAGGAGAGAAAUGCAGUGUGGAAUGUUGGUGACUGAAGCUGAUUGACACAGGUCAAGGGGACUUCAAGGAAGAAAGCCAGCCUUAGACUGACAUCAGAGAACCAAACUCCGGUGUCUAAGCUCAAGAGGUUAGAAUCCUGAGAACUGUUUGGAAUAAGGAAUCCAAAUAUUGUCUUCCAGCUUCACCUUGUCACGACAGUCCUCGCCAGGGACAGCUGAGCAUCUACAUCUCCAUUUAUGCCGUGUGCACGCAGUACCAACAGAGGUCAGAGGAGGGUGUCGGAUCCCCUGGAACUGGAGUCACAGAUUCUUCCUUGCGUGGAUGAAACAGUCCCAACGAACACUUUAAAAAGACAAAUGUUCCCGACAGCACUGGUUGAAUUCAAAACUCGGCAGAUCCAUGUUCUUAUCCUUAGACAAGAGAGGGGCCAUAACAAGAUGGAAUGACGGAACAGACGUGAGAGAUGAUGUCCACCCAGAGGGUCUGCACUUCUCGGAGCCAGAAGGUGGAGAAGAGUAGGGAUGGAGGAAGUUCGAAGUUUUAGGAGUCUGCUCUUGGGUCCCUAGGCAUGAGGACAAGCUUUUCCUGUACUCAAUGCUCAUCUCUCAGUUGUGCCCACAUUGGUACACAUUACUUGCUUUCAACUGCUGCUGCUGCUGUUUCCUAAUUCAAUAAAGAUAUGGCUGGCUCAGC
rnacentral:lncRNA from 1 species